UUGACAGCCCUGGAGACUGAUGUCCUAAUUAACCUCAGAGCAGGUGCACAUGGGCAUUUUCGUGCCAUUGUAACUCAGCCUAGAGAUGCACAUCCCAGUUCUCAGGUUAGAUGGUAGUUCAGUAUAAAGCUUUCACAACCUACAGCCACC
rnacentral:sRNA from 1 species